GUCCAUGCUGUAAACGAUGAGAACUGGGUGUUGUGGGUAUUGACCCCCGCGGUGCCGAAGCCAACGCGUUAAGUUCUCCGCCUGGGAAGUACGGCCGCAAGGCUAAAACUCAAAGGAAUUGACGGGGACCCGCACAAGCGGUGGAUGAUGUGGAUUAAUUCGAUGCAACGCGAACAACCUUACCUACCCUUGACAUGUCCAGGAGUCGGCUGAAAGGUCGAUGUGCCCGAAAGGGAUUGGAACACAGGUGCUGCAUGGCUGUCGU
rnacentral:rRNA from 1 species